AAGUGGAGUAUCAGAGUUCUUCCAUGUAGGUACAAAACCAUCUGGAAAUCUAUCACCCUUGACAACAUCUACGGCAGCAAAGGACUCGAGUUCUGUCAUUUCUUGUGGUGUAAGUUUCACAGACAAGGCUCCAAUGUUGUCAUUAAAGUUCUCAAUUUUGGUGGUUCCGGGUAUGGGGCAGACAUCAUUGCCUUGGUGGUGAAGCCAUGCCAAUGCAAGCUGAGAUGGAGUACAUCCUUUCUUCAUGGCGAUUUCGUUAACCCUCUCGAAUAUAGUCUUGUUUGUCUCCAGGUUUUCAGGUUGGAAUCUAGGCAGAGCCUGCAACACAACACACAACAUAAGAUUUUAUAGUUUAUGUAUCAUUAUGAACAUUUGAAAAACAUAAUAUAGUAAGAUGCAGUGUUAUACAGGGAAAACUGUUAAAUUUGGAUUUGGUAUGUGUUAUGAAGUCAAUAUAUAUUACCAUAUAUCUUUUUAAGGACACUGAUUAACAAAAUCCUAACAAUAAUAAUAGUACUAGGUAAGUUAUCCACUAAAGUUUGACUUUGUUAAAAUUUGUUAAAAACACCAAGUUUUGAAGUAGAUGAAAAAGUUUGUCUCAGCAAAUGAAUAAGAGUUCUCUGGCUUCCAGUUUUGCUUCUCUAAGUUUAUUUAUUAUCAAUGUAACCAAUGAACAAAAUCUUAUAUAUCUGCUCUAUAAGAUGAUUACCAAUUAACAAACUUCGAUUCAAUUUCUAACCCAAAAAUUGUAUUAAGAACAAGCCAUUUUAAUUUAUAAGAAUAUUCGUUUUUUAAAUAGAAUAUUCCAUUAUCUUAAACGUUAUACUCACGGUACGGACUUUAUUGAAAAAAAAUUAACGUAUAGAGACUCAAUUAAAAGGAAAAAAAGUAUAAAGACCUAAUUGAAAAUUUUGCGAAAUUAUAGGAAUCAACAGACUAAUUAAACCUUAUUAUUAUGACACUUUUAAUGUAUGUUUAUUGCAUUUAAUUAGUACUUGAUGUUUCAAUUGAAUAAUAAUAGAUAUUAGUUUUUAUUUAUUAUAAAUAAAUAGAUAGAUAGAUUCUCUUUUUCAACCAAAAAUAAAUUAAGAUUACUAUUAUUAGAUAAUUUUAAAUAUUUUGUUUUAACUUUUAAUAAAUGCAUAACAAUUGUAUUAAAAAUCAAACUUUACACAAUUUUUUAUAAUAAACUUCUUGAUUAAUAUCUUUAUCGGACACAUAUUAGCCAAACCCUUUAUUAAUAGUCACUGGCAUGUGAAUUUUCUGGAUUGUCAAAAUCUUCACUACUACAAUCAACUGCAAGUUGACCACUAUCUGCAACUGAAUAAGGACUCUUUUUUCAUUGGCACAAAUUCUCCAUAAACCCUUAUUUUAUGUAUAGGCAGCAGAAUCCAAAAACCACUUCAAAGUUAAGAAUAUACAAAAUCAGCAGCUAGAAAUUUGGAAGGUUCACUGAUGUAACCAAAUUCAUUUCAAAAGGGAACACAUACAUGCCCUUCAUACUGAUCUAUUUAUUGAAAGUAACCAACACUCUUGAAGGUGCAAUGAUAAAAUAAACAUUGUGAUGAACAUGAUUAAACAGCUUUCCGAGAAGAAAGUGGUGGAGUAUCAGAGUUCUUCCAUGUAGCUAACAUAUCCUCUGCAUAUCUAUCACCCUUGACAACAUCUGCGGUAGCAAAGGACUCGAGUUCUGUCAUUUCUUCCCGUGUAAGUUUCACAGACAAGGCUCCAAUGUUGUCAUUAAAGUUCUCAAUUUUGGUGGUUCCAGGUAUGGGGCAGACAUCAUUGCCUUGGUGGUGAAGCCAUGCCAAUGCAAGCUGAGAUGGAGUGCAUCCUUUUUUCGCGGCCAUUUCAUUGACCCUCUCGAAUAUAGUCUUGUUCGUCUCCAGGUUUUCAGGUUGAAAUCUAGGCAGAGCCUGCAACAGAACACAAAACAUAAGGUUUUAUAAUUUAUGUAUCAUUGAUGAACAUUUGAGGAACAUAAUAUAGUAAGAUGUAAGUGUUAUAUAGGGAAAACUAUUAAAUAUGGAUAUGAUAUAUGUUAUGAAAUCAGUGCAUAUUAUCAUGUAUCUUUUUAGGACACUGAUUAACAAAAUCCUCAUAAUAUUAGUAGGUAAGUAAUCCACUGAAGUUUGACUUGUUAAAAUUUGUGAAAGGCACAAGGUUUUGAAGUAGAUGAAAAUGUGUGACUAUGAGCAGAAAACAUGAUUAAGGAAAUGCACAUCACACAAACCUUCCGGAAGUUGUUCUGCGACAAAUUAUCAAGCAACUUUGAUCCGGAUGAAAAGAAUCCGCGGCCAAGAGGACUAUAUGCAACAAUUCCAAUGCCAAGUUCCCUGAAAAGGACAAUAUUUGGAAGCCAAAAAUUCAGAAGUCCUAGAAAUAGAAUUGCUUGUUAAAAAGAACAUUAAUCCUUGUGCUUUAGAUUCACACCUGCAAGUUGGAAUUAUUUCUUCCUCGACAUCUCUGGACCAUAGAGACCAUUCAAUUUGCACAGCGGUUAUGGGAUGAACAGCAUGUGCUCUUCUGAUUGUUGAAGGCGACGCCUCAGAUAGACCGACGUACUUUAUUUUUCCCUCUUCAACAAGUUUCUUAAGCUCCCCAAUCUUGAUUAAAACAAUUACAAGGAAAAAUUUGAAGUCAUCAUACAUAUCUCUUCAUAUAUGCAAUUAUCUCACAUCCUAAGAUUGUAUCAAGUGUUUCCUUAACAAAGACACAUAUAUACUAAAUGCAGAUUGGGGUUGUUGUACAAUACAAUUGUGAUGCAAAGCUGGUGAUUUAUAUUUUGGUCCCAACAUAAUUACAGGUACCAAUUUCUAAGUUGAUCUAUGUAUAUCUGGAAUAAUAAUAGAGACAAUUUACUGAUUUUACAAGGACUAGAAACUUAUUUAACCCUCCAUUAAUGACAUCAAGUUGGUGAUAAAGCAAAAACAAAAAGAGAAAGAAAGAGGUCUAACAGUGAGUUCGAUUGGCACGCGAGUAUCAACUCUAUGCUGAAAAUAGAGAUCAAUGCAAUCAAUGUCAAGUCUCUUCAAGCUCCCCUCACAGGAAGCUCUCACAUAUUCUGGAUCUCCACGGAUAUCGAAUUUCCUUUCCCCAAUAAUAUUGAUUGAAAAUUUGGUUGCCAAUUCAACCUUCUCUCUCAGCCCUCCCUUCAGAGCCUGCCAAAAAUUGAAACUAACUACAAUAAAAGACAUGAUAUCUUCACAUAGAAAGAGUAUACAUCCCAAUAACUGUUUGAUCUCUUAAACAAAGUUUCACAAGCCGAGACUCAAACCCUCGACACUAGUUAGUUAUUGAGGAUGGAAAAGACUCCUUACUACUUCACCUUAGUCCCCUGAUUUGACAUUCAGAGUGUCAUGAAACCACUUAUCCAAAACCAUAAACUGAUAGGAAGAUGUACAUGAACAAGAAACAGAAUAUUCUCUGUCUUGUUCUUACUCUAUCUCAAGAGAUAUCAACUAACUUGUAUAUGCAAAUAACAUUAGUCUAAUUAUAACCAAGGAACUUCAUAUCAGAAAAACAUAAGAAAUCAAAAGAAAAUCCAAAAGGGUAGCUGAAUUAAAGAUCAAGUAGGAACCUUUGCAAUUAGAAUUUCGUUGGUGUGAGGGCCAUAGACAUCAGCAGUGUCAAGGAAUGUGACACCAGACUGAAUAGCAUGGUGGAUGAGAGCAACCAUGUCUGGUUCUGGUUUUGGAGGUCCAUAGCCAGAAGACAUUCCCAUGCAACCAAGUCCUUGCUGAGACACCUCCAAGCCCUGUGAACCCAACUUCAUUCUUCCAACUUUAGCCAUUGUUGUAAUGUGAAGAUGAUGGUAGCACUAUGAUAUCAGUGGAAGAAGCUGAAUGAAGCUUUGUGAAUGUUAAUUGUCAAAUGACUAUAGCUGUGAAGCGUCAAAUGGCUGAGUAUAGUUAUUCUAAACAAGAAAGUAAAUAUAAUUUUAAUAAAAAAACUUGUCCCACUCCAAGCAGCCAUUAUAGAAUAUAGCAAUUAGAAAAAGAACCCCACAAGCCCACCCCCAUUUAACUAAUCAAAUGGUGGACCUCUUAUUUUCUUUAAAAAAUGUUAAUAGGACCUUUCACCUCAUAUAUUUACAUUGAAAAACUACUGGAUCUUGAAGAAAUAAAAUAACACAAAAUGAGUACUUACUUGUUAGUUAUAUUCAUCCACUUAUGACCAUAAAUUUUAAUAUUAAAAACAAAAUACAAAUCACUGAAUCAUUUAGAUAUGAAACUUUGCUUCCACCUUAGUCAAAGAUUAAUAGUAGAAGGCAUGCCAAUGCACUUUUGAUGUGCUUAAGUCUUUUGUUUAUUUAGACGGAGAAAUACACAAGACACACACAUGAAGUUAUCUGCAAUAGAGUUCAAACUUCAGAUCACUUAAUUAAUUGAAAGAACAAAUCAACAGCAAGAAAAUUAAACAGCUUUCCAAGAAGAGAGUGGUGGAGUAUCAGAGUUCUUCCAGGUACUUAGAUCGCCGGCGUAUCUAUCACCCUUGACUGCAUCCGCGGCAGCAAAGGACUCGAGUUCUGCCAUUUCUUGUGGUGCAAGUUUCACAGAUAAAGCAGCAAUGUUUUGGUUAAAAUUGUCAACUUUGGUGGUUCCAGGAAUGGGGCAGACAUCAUUUCCUUGGUGGUGAACCCAUGCCAAUGCAAGCUGAGAUGGAGUGCAUCCCUUCUUCGCCGCCAUUUCAUUAACCCUCUCAAAUAUAGUCUUGUUCUUCUCCAGAUUCUCAGGUUGGAAUCUAGGCAGAUUCUGUAACACACAUAAGAUUAACCAAGCUACUUUACUUGUUUAACUUUGUUGAUCGAGAAAACUGUAUUCUGUUUUAUGUGUUCAGUUAGUAAUCAUCAUUAUUAUAUGAUAAAAUGCUAAGUAUAUAACUAAAGGAAGAUCAAUACAGAAAAUAAUAGCGAGUUCAUGAUUAAAGUUUGAACUAAUGAAAAAUCGUAAAUAAUGCCAAGGUACACUUAAUUAUGAAAAUGCUCAAGUAAUUAGCACUAACUUGUGUUAACACAAACCUGUCUGAAGUCACCCUCAGAUAAAUUCUCAAGUAUCUUUGUUCCUGAUGAAAGGAAUCCUCUCCCAAGAGGACUAUAUGCAACAAUUCCAAUACCAAGUUCCCUGAGAAGUAUAAAAUUUAAAAGCCAUGAAAUUAAAUUGUGGAUCAUAUAUUUAUAUUGAUGAUAUAGGCUAUGAUAAUCCAAUCAUAUAGAUCAUAGUAACUUCUAUACAAUGUAUGCCAUUGGAUCAUCUUAGUGUUUCAAACAUCGAGUUAUUCGUUGUCUUAAACUGCACCUGCAAGUUGGAAUCACUUCUUCUUCAACAUCUCUUGACCAAAGAGACCAUUCUAACUGCACAGCUGAUAUGGGAUGAACAGCAUGUGCUCUUCUGAUUGUUGAAGCUGAAGCCUCGGAUAGACCAAUGUAUUUUAUUUUUCCCUCCUCAACAAGCUUCUUAAGCUCACCAAUCUUAACUUGAAAUUGAAGAAGUGAAAAAAAUUGAAGUAAUCACACAUAAAGUAGUCUAUUUUUUUACUUCAUGCUCUUAACAAUUAAAAUGUCAGUUCCAUAUAACAGAUUGCAUUUCCAUAAGAAUAUGAUAUUCAAUCUUGUUAACUGAUAGAGAAUUAUAGAAUAAAAUGGAAUACAAUGAAACAUUUAAACAUGUGUUCACCGAAGUAGUCCUAAAGAUUCAAGAUUAACUAAAUAAUAGUAUUAGCACAGAGAAAGAUUCAAACCGUUAUUUCGAUUGGAACACGUGUAUCAAUUCGAUGUUGGUAAUAGAGAUCUAUACAAUCAAUUUCAAGUCUCUUCAAGCUUCCCUCACAGGCAGCUCUCACAUAUGAUGGAUCACCACGGUUCUCAAACUUUUCAUCAUCAGAAAUGCUGAUACCAAAUUUGGUUGCCAAUUCAACCUUCCCUCUCACCCCUCCCUUCAAAGCCUGCUCAAAGUUCCAAACAUUUCAUCAUAAUAUCAUAUGCACAAGCCAAAACAAAAAUUAUGACAUAAUAAGAAAUGACAUUAUUCAUUUAUAAAAUUCAAACUUGAGAACUUGCUUAAGAAGAAUCCAUGAUCAAUAACAGAGAGAAAAGCAACACAAAAUCUUGAAAACACUCGGUAUUUUUUCACUUGGAUAAAAUCAACUGAACUGUUUAUAUCAACUUAUCUGUCUCCAAUUAAGUCCAAGGAUCAGAACAACCAAAAAAAAAAAAAUUGAAGAAAAGUCAAAAGGGUAGGUGAAUCAAAGCUCAAGUAGGAACCUUUCCAAUCAGAAUUUCAUUGGUGUGAGGACCAUAGACAUCAGAGGUAUCAAGGAAUGUGACACCACUUUGAACAGCAUGGUGAAUGAGAGCAACCAUGUCAGGUUCUGGCUUUGGAGGUCCAUAGUAAGCAGACAUUCCCAUGCAACCAAGUCCUUGCUGAGAUACCUCCAAACCUUGUGAUCCCAGUUUCAUUCUUCCAACUUUAGCCAUUGCUGUGUUGUGGUGAUGAUGUGCUUGCAAGUUGCAACUAUGAUCAGUGUUCGAAGAGUGAUGCAGAAGUUUUAUUUGGCUUCUUUGAAUGAAUGUUCUGAGCUAUGUGCCUACUCUUAUAAGUAGUUGAAAACUCCAUCAUGACAGCAAGGCAAAGAUUAUUAAUUAAUAUCAUAUUAUUAAUCAUUCACUUCAUUAGAAAUCAUUAUGACUAAUGAGGAUAAAUUUAUGACUAUCUCCAUGUUGAAAUAGUAUUUACAACACUUUUUAUGUACCAGUAUAUAUAUAUUUAAGGUUCCGAUUGUUGGAUACGUUUGUUCUUGAUUGGUAUAUUUCAAUACUUUUAUUUUUCAGUAGGUACAAAAUAAAAUAAAUUAUCUGUAAGAGAAUAUGCCCUAGGUCUUAAUUAUGUUGGUUUUCAUCUCUGAUAUAGUGAUAUGUCUUUAUCUUCUUAAAUGCAAUGAAGUUAAAUGGAUUUGGUAUUUGAUUAUCUCACUAAAGUUGAGGUUUUGGUGGGCUCAAUAAACUAGAUCAGCAUAAUAUAGUGCAAUUUAGGUAAUGCCAAAAGCACAGUGCUCCUCUUCCUUUUGAAUGCUUUUCUAAACAAAAACAAUACUAAACUAAAAAUAAAAUAAGGGGAGUGGAGGAAGUCAUAAUUCCUAUCACAAUAUCUGGUUCUGGUUUUGGAGGUCCAUAGCCAGAAGACAUUCCCAUGCAACCAAGUCCUUGCUGAGACACCUCCAAGCCCUGUGAACCCAGCUUCAUUCUUCCAACUUUAGCCAUUGUUGUCAUGUGAAGAUGAUGGUAGCACUAUGAUAUCAGUGGAAGAAGCAGAAUGAAGCUUUGUGAAUGUUAAUUGUCAAAUGACUACAGCUGUGAAACCUCAAAUGGCUGAGUAUAGUUAUUCUAAACAAGAAAGUAAAUAUAGUUUUUAUAAAAAAAAUUGUCCCACUCCCAGCAGCCAGUAUAGAAUAUAGCAAUUAGAAAAAGAACCCCACAAACCCACCCCAUUUAACUAAUCAAACGGUGUACCUAACUUUUAUUUUCUUUAUAAAAAUGUUAAUAGGACCUUUCACCUCAUAUAUUUACAUUGAAAAACUUACUUGUUAGUACAUUCAUUCACUUAUGACCAUAAUUUUUAACAUAAGAAAAAAAUACAAAUCACUGAAUCAUUUAGAUAUGAAACUUUGCUUUCACCUUGGUCAAAGAUUAAUAGUAGAAGGCAUGGCAUUGUUGAUGUGCUUAAGUCUUUUGUUUAUUAAGACAGAGAAACACACACACAUACAUGAAGUUAUCUGGAACAGAGUUCAAACUUCAGAUCACUUAAUUAAUUGAAAGAACAACUCAACAGCAAGAAAAUUAAACAACUUUCCAAGAAGAGAGUGGUGGAGUAUCAGAGUUCCUCCAGGUAAUUAGAUCGCCGGCGUAUCUACCACCCUUGACAACAUCUGCGGCAGCAAAGGACUCGAGUUCUGCCAUUUCUUGUGGUGCAAGUUUCACAGAUAAAGCACCAAUGUUGUUGUUAAGGUUCUCAAGUUUGGUGGUUCCGGGAAUGGGGCAGACAUCAUUGCCUUGGUGGUGAAGCCAUGCCAAUGCAAGCUGAGAUGGUGUGCAUCCUUUCUUUGCGGCCAUUUCUUUUUUUUUUUUUUUAAUGUAUGUAUCAUUGAUGAACAUUUGAAAAACAUAAUAUAGUAAGAUGCAAGUGUUAUGAAAUGAAUAUAUAUUAUCAUAUAUCUUUUUAGGUCACCGAUCAACAAAAUCCUAAUAAUAUUAGUAGGUAACUUAUCUACUAAAGUUUGACUUGUUAAGAUUUGUGAAAGAAUAUGUAACUGAGUACAAAACAUGAUUAUGAAAAUGACAAGUGAUCAGAGCAUGAAUUUCUAUAAUCGCACACAUAUGACACAAACCUUCCUGAAGUCGUCCUGUGAUAAAUUAUCAAGCAACUUUGAUCCGGAUGAAAAGAAUCCGCAGCCAAGAGGACUGUAUGCAACAAUUCCAAUGCCAAGUUCCCUGAAAAGGACAAUAGUUGGAAGCCAAAAACUCAGACAUUGUAUCAUGAUGUUUUAUGAGAAGUCCUAGAAAGAGAUUUGCUUGUUAACAAGAACAUUAAUACUUGUGAAUGAUUAGAUUCAAACCUGCAAGUUGGAAUCACUUCUUCUUCAACAUCUCUUGACCAAAGAGACCAUUCUAACUGCACAGCUGAUAUGGGAUGAACAGCAUGUGCUCUUCUGAUUGUUGAAGCUGAAGCCUCGGAUAGACCAAUGUAUUUUAUUUUUCCCUCCUCAACAAGCUUCUUAAGCUCACCAGUCUUAACUUGAAAUUGAAGAAGUGAAAAAAAUUGAAGUCAUCACACAUAAGGUAGUCUAUUUUUAUUACUUCAUGCUCUUAACAAUUACCAUAAAAGUAGAUGAAGUGGAUAGAUUUCGACAAAAAUGGGGAUUUUUCUGUUAAAUCUUUCCUUAAUAUUAUUUAUAAGGACAGGAAUAGAGAGACGGAUUCCAACAUGUAUAAUUUUGCUAAAAAGUUGUGGGUUGGCUUUGUUCCUCCUAGAGUGGAGCUCCUCACUUAGUUUAUAGUUCUAGGAAGACUAAAUACAAAGGAUAGGCUGUGCAAUUUGAAGAUGCUUCGGAGUGAGGAUGUGAAGUGCGUGCUUUGUGGUUCUAGACCUGAGUCUGUCCACCACAUUUUCUUUGCAUGUGACUGGUCUUGGAAUUUAUGGGUUGUGAUCCUUCAAAGGUGGGGUCUAUCUUGGGUGUGGCCGAAUUUAGCAAAAGAUUGCUUUGACUGCUGGGUGGAUUUAAGGCUUGGUAAUAUACAAAAGUGUGAAUGGAUUAUUUGCUUCUUUGCAACGGUGUGGACUAUAUGGAAGGAGCGCAACUGCAGAAUUUUUUGCAAGAAGGAAAGAUCCUUUGAGGCAUGUGUAAGCGACAUUCAAUUCCUGGUCAACCAAUGGUGUAAUUAUAGGCACAGUAAUUAUGGUUGAAACUGCUUAUUUGUGAUUUUUAGUGGUGUGGGUUUGUUUCUCAGGGACUCGUUGUUCGUGUUGUUUUUUUGUUCUGUUGGCGGUCCUAGGCUUCUUAGUGCCUUCGAGGUUUUUGACAUUCGUGUAAUAGUCUAGAUCUUUAGCUUAUGUCUUUGUUGUUUUAUGUUUGGUUCUUGUUUUGUUUAGUUUAAGUUUCGUUUUUUCUUGUUGUCUGUAGCUUGCUCUCACUUCCCUCUUUGGGAUUUAAGUGAGUUCUAAAACUAUCAAAAAAAAAAAAAAAACAAUUAACAUACUAAAUGUCAGUUCCAUAAAACGGAUUGCAUUUCCUUAACAAUAUGAUAUUCAAUCUUGUUAAGUGAUGAAUAAUUCAAACAUAAGUGUUCACUGAACUAGUUAAAUGUGAAAUUCAAGGUUAUUAAUUUCUCGAGUUAACUCGUAAACUCUUAUGGUUCAAGUUGACCUAAAGACUUAUUUUAUGAUAGAGAAAGAUUCAAACCGUUAUUUCGAUUGGAACACGUGUAUCGAUUCGAUGUUGGUAAUAGAGAUCUAUGCAAUCAAUGUCAAGUCUCUUCAAGCUUCCUUCACAGGCAGCUCUCACAUAUGAUGGAUCACCACGGUUCUCAUAUUUUCCAUCAUCAGAAAUGCGGAUACCAAACUUGGUUGCCAAUUCAACCUUCUCUCUCACCCCUCCACUCAAAGCCUGUCUCAAAGUUCCAAACAUUUCAUCAUAAUAUCAUAUGCACAAGCCAAAACAAAAUUGUGACAUAAAAUUCAAACUUGAGAACUUGCUUAAGAAGAAUCCAUGAUCUAUAACAGAGAAGAAAGCAACAUAAAAUCUUGAAUCACUCGUUAUUUUUUUCACUUGGAUAAGAUCAACUGAACUGUUUAUGUCAACUUAUCUGUCUCCAAUUAAGUCCAAGGAUCAGAACAACUAAAAAAAAUAAAAAAUCAGAAGAAAAGUCAAAAGGGUAGGUGAAUCAAAGCUCAAGUAGGAACCUUUCCAAUCAGAAUUUCAUUGGUGUGAGGACCAUAGACAUCAGAGGUAUCAAGGAAUGUGACACCACUUUGAACAGCAUGGUGAAUGAGAGCAACCAUGUCAGGUUCUGGCUUUGGAGGUCCAUAGUAAGCAGACAUUCCCAUGCAACCAAGUCCUUGCUGAGAUACCUCCAAACCUUGUGAUCCCAGUUUCAUUCUUCCAACUUUAGCCAUUGCUGUGUUGUGGUGAUGAUGUGCUUGCUAGUUGCAACUAUGAUCAGUGUUCGAAGAGUGAUGCAGAAGUUUUAUUUGGCUUCUUUGAAUGAAUGUUCUGAGCUAUUUGCCUACUCUUAUAAGUAGUUGAAAACUCCAUCAUGAUUGCAAGGCAAAGAUUAUUAAUUAAUAUCAUAUUAUUAAUCAUUCACUUCAUUAGAAAUCAUUAUGACUAAUGAGGAUAAAUUUAUGACUAUCUCCAUGUUGAAAUAGUAGUUACAACACUUAGGUAAAAUAUAUUAUUUUUAUCAAAGAUUAUGUACCAGUAUAUAUAUAUAUUUAAGGUUCCGAUUGUUGGAUACGUUUGUUCUUGAUUGGUAUAUUUCAAUACUUUUAUUUUUCAGUAGGCACAAAAUAAAAUAAAUUAUCUGUAAGAGAAUAUGCCCUAGGUCUUAAUUAUGUUGGUUUUCAUCUCUGAUAUGUCUUUAUCUUCUUAAAUGCAAUGAAGUUAAAUGGAUUUGGUAUUUGAUAAUCUCACUAAAGUUGAGGUUUUGGUGGGCUCAAUAAACUAGAUCAGCAUAAUAUAGUGCAAUUUAGGUAAUGCCAAAAGCACAGUGCUCCUCUUCCUUUUGAAUGCUUUUCUAAACAAAAACAAUACUAAACUAAAAAUAAAAUAAGGGGAGUGGAGGAAGUCAUAAUUCCUAUCACAAUAUCUGGUUCUGGUUUUGGAGGUCCAUAGCCAGAAGACAUUCCAUGCAACCAAGUCCUUGCUGAGACACCUCCAAGCCCUAUGAACCCAGCUUCAUUCUUCCAACUUUAGCCAUUGUUGUAAUGUGAAGAUGAUGGUAGCACUAUGAUAUCAGUGGAAGAAGCUGAAUGAAGCUUUGUGAAUGUUAAUUGUCAAAUGACUACAGGUGUGAAACCUCAAAUGGCUGAGUAUAGUUAUUCUAAACAAGAAAGUAAAUAUAAUUUUAAUAAAAAAAAUUGUCCCACUCCCAGCAGCCAUUAAAGAAUACAGCAAUUAGAAAAAGAACCCCACAAACCCACCCCCAUUUAACUAAUCAAAUGGUGGACCUCACUUUUAUUUUCUUUUAAAAAAUGUUAAUAGGACCUUCCACCUCAUAUAUUUACAUUGAAAAACUAUUGGAUCUUGAAGAAAUAAAUAAAACAAAAUGAGUACUUACUUGUUAGUUACAUUCAUUCACUUAUGACCAUAAUUUUUAACAUAAAAAAGAAAUACAAAUCACUGAAUCAUUUAGAUAUGAAACUUUGCUUUCACCUUGGUCAAAGAUUAAUAGUAGAAGGCAUGCCAUUGUUGAUGUGCUUAAGUCUUUUGUUUAUUUAGACAGAGAAACACACACACAUACAUGAAGUUAUCUGGAACAGAGUCCAAACUUCAGAUUACUUAAUUAAUUGAAAGAACAAAUCAACAGCAAGAAAAUUAAACAGCUUUCCAAGAAGAGAGUGGUGGACUAUCAGAGUUCUUCCAGGUAAUUAGAUCGCCGGUGUAUCUAUCACAUUUGACAGCGUCCACAACAGAAAAGGACUCGAGUUCUGCCAUUUCUUGUGGUGCAAGUUUCACAGAUAAAGCACCAACGUUUUGGUUAAAAUUGUCAACUUUGGUGGUUCCAGGAAUGAGGCAGUCACCAUUUCCUUGGUGGUGAACCCAUGCCAAUGCAAGCUGAGAUGGAGUGCAUCCCUUCUUCGUCGCCAUUUCAUUUACCCUCUCGAAUAUAGUCUUGUUCUUCUCCAGAUUCUCAGGUUGGAAUCUAGGCAGAUUCUGUAAGUGAACACAUAAGAUUAACCAAACUACUUUACUUGUUUAACUAUGUUGAGUUAAUUAGCAAUCAUCAUUAUUAUGUGUUAUAAUGCUAAGUAUAUAAAUAAAGGAGAUCAAUACAGAAAUUAAUAGUGACUUCAUGAUUAAAGUUUGAACCAACAAAAAAUUGUAAAAAAUGCCAAGCUACACUUAAUUAUACAAAUGCACAAGUAAUUAGCACUAAUUUGUGUUAACACAAACCUGUCUGAAGUCACCCUCAGACAAAUUCUCAAAGGAUCUUCAUGUUUCUUUGUGGCAAAAGAGAAUGAGAAGGAUGAAGAGGCCUUAUUUGUUCUCCUUUGCAGGCGCCCCAACGCCUAAUGCACCGGAUUCCAUCAGAAACGAGCUGAUCAGACAAUGCCAGUCUUCUAGCAGUUGCAAACUCCUAGGAUGCUACAGGGGUAAAAACAACAAAAAUACUUGUGAAGAUCCGGUCAGCGUCAUGAGUGUUUUUCAAAGAUCAAUUUGCUUGGAGCCGUCUGGCGAUUCCUACACGAGGAGAUCAACUUUCGACGCAAUCUUAGCCGGCUGCAUACCGGUUUUUUUCCAUCCAAAGUCAGCUUAUGAACAAUAUAGUUGGCAUUUACCAAAAGACUAUUUGAGCUACUCUGUGUUCAUACCUGAAGGUGAUGUUAGAGAGAACAAAUGAGAAGGGAAGGUUGAGGAUGCAUUUGAUAUAGCUGUUAAGGGUAUUAUAAUAUUAUUAGAAGAGUAGAAGAAAUGAGAAGGGAGAUUUCAUCAUCAACAAACAAUGGUUAUUAUUCUAAUGAAUGAAGAUGGUUCAUAAGGUCUCAAAUUUGCUCAUGGGUUUUUCUCACCCUUUUGGAGAUGAUCUUGCAUGCAUGGAUGAUGUUGUUAGUUAGAAAUCUUCAUUACAAAUCAGUUGAAAGGUCUAAUUAUUUGGAUUUCAUUUUUGUGUUUGAUCUUCGUCAGAGUCAGAAAAAUCUUUGACAUAUUGAGUUAAGUCUUAGUACUAUGAAUACCAAAUAUUACUACAUAUUGCUUCAAUUAGAAUAAAAAAAUGAAAUUCUUACAUGAUACAAAUAGUUAUCUUUUUAAUGUUUUUCAUGACACAAAAAAAUUUAUGGUUGGCCAGUUGAGUGAUUUAUAAACAUUUUUAUUAAUUGUUUUAAAAAUUCUAUGAUGAAACCGAGAUGUAAACUAUGUUUUGUAGAAUACAUAUGAAGUUAUCUGCAAUAGAAUCCAAAAACCACUUCGAAGUUAAGAAUACAAAAUCAGCAGCCAGAAAUUUGAAAGAUUCACUGAUGUAACCAAAUUUAUUUCAAAAGGGAACACCUAAAUGCACUUCAUACUGAUCUAUUUAUUGAAAGUAAUAAAGUAUCAACACUCCAGAGGGUGAAAUGGUAAAUUAAACAUUAAGUGAUGAACUUGAUUAAACAGCUUUCCAAGAAGAAAGUAGUGGAGUAUCAGAGUUCUUCCAUGUAGGUAUAAGAUUAUCUGGAUAUCUACCACCCUUGACCACAUCUGCGGCAGCAAAGGACUCGAGUUCUGUCAUUUCUUGUGGUGUAAGUUUCACAGACAAGGCUCCAAUGUUGUCGUUAAGGUUCUCAAUUUUGGUGGUUCCGGGUAUGGGGCAGACAUCAUUGCCUUGGUGGUGAAGCCAUGCCAAUGCAAGCUGAGAUGGUGUGCAUCCUUUCUUUGCGGCCAUUUCAUUGACCCUCUCAAAUAUAGUCUUGUUUGACUCCAGGUUUUCAGGUUGAAAUCUAGGCAGAGCCUGCAAACACACAAGUUUUUUUUUUAUGAACAUUUGAAAAACAUAAUAUAGUAAGAUGCAAGUGUUAUGAAAUGAAUAUAUAUUAUCAUAUAUCUUUUUAGGUCACUGAUCAACAAAAUCCUAAUAAUAUUAGUAGGUAACUUAUCUACUAAAGUUUGACUUGUUAAGAUUUGUGAAGGACACCAAGUUUUUAAAUAGGUGAAAAUAUGUAACUGAGUACAAAACAUGAUUAUGGAAAUGCACAAGUGAUCAGAGCAUGAAUUUCUGUAAUCGCACACGUGACACAAACCUUCCUGAAGUCGUCCUGUGAUAAAUUAUCAAGCAACUUUGAUCCGGAUGAAAAGAAUCCGCGGCCAAGAGGACUAUAUGCAACAAUUCCAAUGCCAAGUUCCCUGAAAAGGACAAUAGUUGGAAGCCAAAAAUUCAGACAUUGUAUCAUGAUGUUUUAUGAGAAGUCCUAGAAAGAGAUUUGCUUGUUAACAAGAACAUUAAUACUUGUGAAGGAUUAGAUUCACACCUGCAAGUUGGAAUCACUUCUUCCUCAACAUCUCUUGUCCAAAGAGACCAUUCAAUUUGCACAGCUGUUAUGGGAUGAACAGCAUGUGCUCUUCUGAUUGUUGAAGCCGAUGCCUCACUUAGACCGAUGUACUUUAUUUUUCCCUCCUCAACAAGCUUCUUAAGCUCCCCCAUCUUGAUUAAAUUUUACAAGGGAAAAAUUUGAAGUCAUCAUACACAACCCUUAAUAUAUGUAAUUAUCUCAUAUCCUAGCUCUAGGAUUGUAACAGAUGUCAAUUCCAAAACAUGUCGCAUACUCACAUUUCCUUAACUAUAUGAUAUAAAAGCUUGGAAAUAGACUAAAGCAUUAUAGGAUACAAAGACAUAUAUUCUAAAUGCAGAUUGGGGUUAUUGUAUAGCACAAUACAGGGCUAAGUAAGUUCUUUGUUGAUGCAAACAUUGUGAUUCAAACCUACCAAAUUACAUAAUAUACUACCAAAUUGUAAGUUAACCUAUGUAUAUCUGGAAUAAUAGUAGACAAUUUACAAGGUUCAACUUCCCUGAAUAAAUAAUUUCAAGUUGGUGAUAACAGAGCUAUCAUAAGGCAAAGAAAGAAGAACAAAGAAAGGGGUAAAACCGUGACUUCAAUUGGCACGCGAGUAUCAACUCUAUGCUGGAUAUAGAGAUCAAUGCAAUUAAUGUCAAGUCUCUUCAAGCUUCUUUCACAGGAAGCUCUCACAUAUUCUGGAUCUCCAUGGAUCUCAAACUUCCCAUCCUCAAUAAAAUUGAUUGAAAACUUGGUUGCCAAUUCAACCUUCUCUCUCAGCCCUCCCUUCAAAGCCUGCCCCAAAAUUGAAAUUAACUACAACAAAAGUACAUGAUAUCUUCACAUAGAAAAAGUAGAUAUCCCAAGAACAUUUUUUAUUUUUGUUUUGGUUACUCAGCAUAUCCACCAUCAAACACAAUGACUAAUCCUCAAAAGACAUGAUACAAAAUUUUCUGUCUUAUUUUAUCUCAGGAGAUAGCAACUAACUACUAUAUGCAAAUAGCAUUAGUCUAAUUAAAACUAAGGAACUUCUCAGAAGAACAUAAGGAAUCAAAAGAAAAUCCAAAAGGGUAUCUGAAUCAAAGUUCAAGAAGGAACCUUUCCAAUUAGAAUUUCAUUGGUGUGAGGGCCAUAAACAUCAGCAGUGUCAAGGAAAGUGACCCCACUUUGAACAGCAUGCUGAAUGAGAGCAACCAUGUCAGGCUCUGGUUUUGGAGGUCCAUAGACAGCAGACAUUCCCAUGCAACCAAGUCCUUGCUGAGACACCUCCAAGCCCUGUGAUCCCAGCUUCAUUCUUCCAACUUUAGCCAUUGUUGUGAUGUGAAGAUGGUAGUAACACUAUGAUAUCAGUGAUCAGAAUAUAUAGAAGAAGCUGAAUGAAGAAGCUUUGUGAACGUCUCUCACUUCUCAACUAAAAAGCAGCUCACACUUCAUAAUUCGUAUAUUAUACAUCUAUAAUAACAAAGGUGAUGAAUUUUAAAGGAAAUAUAUAUUUUUGUCAAAUAUUUCUCCACAAAGCAUAAAGCUUAUCAAAACCAUUUACAGGAUUAGUAUUUUGUAAAAAGAAGAAAGUGUGUAAUUUUCUUUUUCAAAAAGAAAAAAUGACUUAAUUCACUUUUAUUGGUUCACAUAAUAUUUCUUAUUCAUUUCUUUUCUUUUAUUAUAAAUUUUUUAUUUUUUUAUUCUAAUGCACACAUGACACUUGUUUUUAUAUUCUUGAUCAUAUAAAACACAUCUUUCUGUCCUAUUGAUAACAUUCACUUUCGAAAGGAAUCACUUUAAAGAUGCUGUUUUUUUUUAAAGAAAAAAUUAUAUACUGCUAUAAAGAGUGUGCAAAUGUUUUUUUUUCUUAGACCAAAGACUUGGCAUAUGGACAUGGUAUCAGUCAUGAUCACACACCUUUCUAAUAUUUUACUGGUCUAAGGUUCUGCAUAUGAUGAUAGUGUAUUUUGUUUUUUGUUGUUUUAAAGUAAAUAUUUAAUUUUGUUCUUAAAAUUGUACUGUUGAAUUAAUUUGAUCUUUAAAAUUUUUGGGAAAAAAAAAGUGAGUUACAUUAGUUUUGGUAAAUACAAGGAGGAAGAAUGAAUAGAGUAAAUUAUCAUUUUUUGUAUAUUUUCAUAUUUUGUCAAAUUUCAAUCAUUUUUAGAAGGUCAAAAUAUUAUUUUAUUUUUAUUUCAAGGGUUAUUCUGUAAAAUUUUUUUUGAAUCUUUUGGUAAUAAAAUAGUAUUUUACCCGUAAAAGUAAUAUUAUUGACUAAAAAAAAAUUGUUAGUCACCUAAAUUUUCUCAUUUUUUAUUUUCAAAAAAAAAAAAAAAAAGUUCACUGAAUCAUUCAGAUAUGAAACUUUGCUUCCACCUUAGUCAAAGAUUAAUAGUAUAAGCCUUUUGUUUAUUUAGACAUAGAAACACACACAUCAAGUUAUCUGCAACAGAGUUCAAACUUCAAACCACUUAAUUAAUUAAAAGAACAAAUCAACAGCAAGAAAAUUAAAUAUCUUUCCAAGAAGAGAGUGGUGGAGUAUCAGAGUUCUUCCAUGUUCUCAGAUCUCCGGCGUAUCUAUCACCCUUGACAGUGUCCGCGGCAGCAAAGGACUCGAGUUCUGCCAUUUCUUGUGGUGCAAGUUUCACAGAUAAAGCAGCAAUGUUUUGGUUAAAAUUGUCAACUUUGGUGGUUCCAAUGCAAGCUGAGAUGGAGUGCAUCCCUUCUUCGCAGCCAUUUCAUUAACCCCCUCGAAUAUAGUCUUGUUCUUCUUCAGAUUCUCAGGUUGGAAUCUAGGCAGAUUCUGUAACAGAACACAUAAGAUUAACCAAGCUACUUUACUUGUUUAACUUUGUUGAUCAAGAAAACUGUAUUCUGUUUAAUGUGUUCAGUUAGCAAUCAUCAUUAUUAUAUGAUAUAAUGCUAAGUAUAUAACUAAAGCAAGAUCAAUACAGAAAAUACAGAAAAUAAUAGUGAGUUCAUGAUUAAAGUUUGAACUAAUGAAAAUUUGUAAAAAAUGCCAAGGUAGCUCAAGUAAUUAGCACUAACUUGUGUUAACACAAACCUGUCUUAAGUCACCAUCAGAUAAAUUCUCAAGUAACUUUGUUCCUGAUGAAAGGAAUCCUCUCCCCAGAGGAUUAUAUGCAACAAUUCCAAUACCAAGUUCCCUGAGAAGUAUAAAAUUUAGAAGCCAUGAAACUAAAUUGUGGAUCAUAUAUUUAUAUUGAUGAUAUAGGCUAAGAUAAUCCAAUCAUAUAGAUCAUAGUAACUUCUAUACAAUCUAUGCCGUUGGAUCAUCUUAGUGUUUCAAACAUCUAGUUAUUCAUUCUCUUUAAACUGCACCUGCAAGUUGGAACCACUUCUUCUUCAACAUCUCUUGACCAAAGAGACCAUUCUAACUGCACAGCUGAUAUGGGAUGAACAGCAUGUGCUCUUCUGAUUGUUGAAGCUGAAACCUCGGAUAGACCAAUGUAUUUUAUUUUUCCCUCCUCAACAAGCUUCUUAAGCUCACCAAUCUUAACUUGAAAUUGAAGAAGUGAAAAAGUUGAAGUCAUCACACAUAAAGUAGUCUAUUUUUAUUACUUCAUGCUCUUAACAAUUAACAUACUAAAUGUCAGUUCCAUAAAACAGAUUGCAUUUCCUUAACACUAUGAUAUUCAAUCUUGUUAAGUGAUGAAUAAUUCAAACAUUAGUGUUCACUGAACUAGUUAAAUGUGAAAUUCAAGGUUAUUAAUUUCUCGAGUUAACUCGUAAACUCUUAUGGUUCAAGUUGACCUAAAGACUUAUUUUAUGAUAGAGAAAGAUUCAAACCGUUAUUUCGAUUGGAACACGUGUAUCGAUUCGAUGUUGGUAAUAGAGAUCUAUGCAAUCAAUGUCAAGUCUCUUCAAGCUUCCCUCACAGGCAGCUCUCACAUAUGAUGGAUCACCACAGUUCUCAAAUUUUCCAUCAUCAGAAAUGCGGAUACCAAACUUGGUUGCCAAUUCAACCUUCUCUCUCACCCCUCCACUCAAAGCCUGUCUCAAAGUUCCAAACAUUUCAUCAUAAUAUCAUAUGCACAAGCCAAAACAAAAUUGUGACAUAAAAUUCAAACUUGAGAACUUGCUUAAGAAGAAUCCAUGAUCUAUAACAGAGAAGAAAGCAACAUAAAAUCUUGAAUCACUCGUUAUUUUUUUCACUUGGAUAAGAUCAACUGAACUGUUUAUGUCAACUUAUCUGUCUCCAAUUAAGUCCAAGGAUCAGAACAACUAAAAAAAAUAAAAAAUCAGAAGAAAAGUCAAAAGGGUAGGUGAAUCAAAGCUCAAGUAGGAACCUUUCCAAUCAGAAUUUCAUUGGUGUGAGGACCAUAGACAUCAGAGGUAUCAAGGAAUGUGACACCACUUUGAACAGCAUGGUGAAUGAGAGCAACCAUGUCAGGUUCUGGCUUUGGAGGUCCAUAGUAAGCAGACAUUCCCAUGCAACCAAGUCCUUGCUGAGAUACCUCCAAACCUUGUGAUCCCAGUUUCAUUCUUCCAACUUUAGCCAUUGCUGUGUUGUGGUGAUGAUGUGCUUGCAAGUUGCAACUAUGAUCAGUGUUCGAAGAGUGAUGCAGAAGUUUUAUUUGGCUUCUUUGAAUGAAUGUUCUGAGCUAUGUGCCUACUCUUAUAAGUAGUUGAAAACUCCAUCAUGAUUGCAAGGCAAAGAUUAUUAAUUAAUAUCAUGUUUUUAAUCAUUCAUUUCAUUAGAAAUCAUUAUGACUAAUGAGGAUAAAUUUAUGACUAUCUCCAUGUUGUAAUAGUAGUUACAACACUUAGGUAAAAUAUAUUAUUUUUAUCCAAGAUUAUGUACCACUAUAUAUAUUUAAGGUUCCCAUUGUUGGAUUACGUUUGUUCUUGAUUGGUAUAUUUCAAUACUUUUAUUUUUCAGUAGGCACAAAAUAAAAUAAAUUAUCUGUAAGAGAAUAUGCCCUAGGUCUUAAUUAUGUUGGUUUUCAUCCCGGAUAUGUCUUUAUCUUCUUAAAUGCAAUGAAGUUAAAUGGAUUUGGUAUUUGAUUAUCUCACUAAAGUUGAGUUUUUGGUGGGGUUCAGUAAACUAGAUCAGCAUAAUUUAAUGCAAUUUAGUUAAUGCCAAAAGCACAGUGCUCUUCUUCCUUUUGAAUGCUUUUCUAAACAAAAACAAUACUAAACUAAAAAUAAAACAAGGGGAGUGGAGGAAGUCAUAAUUCCUAUCACAAUAUCUGGUUCUGGUUUUGGAGGUCCAUGCUUGCUGAGACACCUCCAAGCCCUGUGAACCCAGCUUCAUUCUUCCAACUUUAGCCAUUGUUGUAAUGUGAAGAUGAUGAUAGCACUAUGAUAUCAGUGGAUGAAGCUGAAUGAAGCUUUGUGAAUGUUAAUUGUCAAAUGACUACAGCUGUGAAACGUCAAAUGGCUGAGUAUAGUUAUUCUAAACAAGAAAGUAAGUAUAAUUAAAAAAAAAAAAAUUGUCCCACUACCAGGAGACAUUAUAGAAUAUAGCAAUUAGAAAAAGAAUCCCACAAACCCACCCCCAUUUAACUAAUCAAAUGGUGGACCUCACCUUUAUUUUCUUUAUAAAAAUGUUAAUAGGACCUUUCACCUCAUAUAUUUACAGUGAAAAACUAUUGGAUCUUGAAGAAAUAAAAUAGAACAAAAUGAAUACUUACUUGUUAGUUACAUUCAUUCACUUAUGACCAUAAUUUUUAACAUAAAAAAAAAUACAAAUCACUGAAUCAUUUAGAUAUGAAACUUUGCUUUCACCUUGGUCAAAGAUUAAUAGUAGAAGGCAUGCCAUUGUUGAUGUGCUUAAGUCUUUUGUUUAUUUAGACAGAGAAACACACACACAUACAUGAAGUUAUCUGGAACAGAGUUCAAACUUCAGAUUACUUAAUUAAUUGAAAGAACAAAUCAAGAGCAAGAAAAUUAAACAGCUUUCCAAGAAGAGAGUGGUGGACUAUCAGAGUUCUUCCAGGUAAUUAGAUCGCCGGUGUAUCUAUCACCCUUGACAGCGUCUGCAGCAAAGGACUCGAGUUCUGCCAUUUCUUGUGGUGCAAGUUUCACAGAUAAAGCACCAAUGUUUUGGUUAAAAUUGUCAACUUUGGUGGUUCCAGGAAUGGGGCAGACACCAUUUCCUUGGUGGUGAACCCAUGCCAAUGCAAGCUGAGAUGGAGUGCAUCCCUUCUUCGUCGUCAUUUCAUUAACCCUCUCGAAUAUAGUCUUGUUCUUCUCCAGAUUCUCAGGUUGGAAUCUACCAGAUUCUGUAAGUGAACACAUAAGAUUAACCAAACUACUUGACUUGUUUAACUAUGUUGAGUUAAUUAGCAAUCAUCAUUAUUAUGUGAUAUAAUGCUAAGUAUAUAAAUAAAGGAAGAUCAAUACAGAAAUUAAUAGUGACUUCAUGAUUAAAGUUUGAACCAACGAAAAAUUGUAAAAAAUGCCAAGCUACACUUAAUUAUACAAAUGCACAAGUAAUUAGCAGUAAUUUGUGUUAACACAAACCUGUCUGAAGUCACCCUCAGACAAAUUCUCAAAAGAUCUUCAUGUUUCUUUGUGGCAAAAGAGAAUGAGAAGGAUGAAGAGGCCUUAUUUGUUCUCCUUUGCAGGCGCCCCAAGGCCUAAUGCACCGGAUUCCUUUAGAAACGAGCUGAUCAGACAAGGCCAAUCUUUAGAAGUUGCAAACUCCUUGGAUGCUACAGGGGGAAAAACAACAAAAAUAUUUCUGAAGAUCCGGUCAGCAUCAUGAGUGUUUUUCAAAGAUCAAUUUGCUUGGAGCCGUCCGACGAUUCCUACACGAGGAGAUCAACUUUCGACGCAAUCUUUGCCGGCUGCAUACCGGUUUUUUUCCAUCCAAAGUCAGCUUAUGAACAAUAUAGAUGGCAUUUACCAAAAGACUAUUUGAGCUACUCUGUGUUCAUACCUGAAGGUGAUGUUAGAGAGAACAAAUCAAUUAUCAAUGACACAUUGGCUAGGGUUUCUAGGACUAGAAUUUCUAAGAUGAGAGAAGUUAUUAUUCCAAGAGUUACAUAAAAUGAACCAAGGUCUAGAUUAGGGAAAGUUGAGGAUGCAUUUGAUAUAGCAGUUAAGGGUAUUAUAAUAUUAUUAGAAGAGUAGAAGAAAUGAGAAGGGAGAUUUCAUCAUCAACAAACAAUGGUUAUUAUUCUAAUGAAUGAAGAUGGUUCAUAUGGUCUCGAAUUUGCUCAUGGGUUUUUCUCACACUUUUGGAGAUGAUCAUGCAUGCAUGGAUGAUGUUGUUAGUUAGAAAUCUUCAUUACAAAUCAGUUGAAAGGUCUAAUUAUUUGCAUUUCAUUUUUGUGUUUGAUAUUCGUCAGAGUCAGAAAAAUCUUUGACAUAUUGAAUUAAGUCUUAGUAUUAUGAAUACCAAAUAUUACUAUAUAUUGCUUCAAUUAGAAUAGAAAAAUGAAAUUCUUACAUGAUACAAAUAGUUAUCUUUUUAAUGUUUUUCAUGACACAAAAAAAUUUAUGGUUGGCCAGUUGAGUGAUUUAUAAACAUUUUUAUUAAUUGUUUUAAAAAUUCAUGAUGAAACCGAGAUGUAAACUAUGUUUUGUAGAAUACAUAUGAAGUUAUCUGCAAUAGAAUCCAAAAACCACUUCGAAGUUAAGAAUACAAAAUCAGCAGCCAGAAAUUUGAAAGAUUCACUGAUGUAACCAAAUUCAUUUCAAAAGGGAACACCUAAAUUCCCUUCAUACUGAUCUAUUUAUUGAAAGUAUCAACACUCCAGAGGGUGAAAUAGUAAAUUAAACAUUAAGUGAUGAACUUGAUUAAACAACUUUCCAAGAAGAAAGUGGUGGAGUAUCAGAGUUCUUCCAUGUAGGUAUAAGAUCAUCUGGAUAUCUACCACCCUUGACAACAUCUGCGGCAGCAAAGGACUCGAGUUCUGUCAUUUCUUGUGGUGUAAGUUUCACAGACAAGGCUCCAAUGUUGUCGUUAAGGUUCUCAAUUUUGGUGGUUCCGGGUAUGGGGCAGACAUCAUUGCCUUGGUGGUGAAGCCAUGCCAAUGCAAGCUGAG
rnacentral:lncRNA from 1 species